GACGAAAGCUGGCGGCGUGCUUAACACAUGCAAGUCGAACGGCAAGGCCCUUCGGGGUACACUAGUGGCGAACGGGUGAGUAACACGUGGGUGAUCUGCCCUGCACUUCGGGAUAAGCCUGGGAAACUGGGACUAUUACCGGAUAGGACUCCUGCCUGCAUGGGUGGGGGUGGAAAGCUUUUGCGGUGUGGGAUGGGCCUGGGGCCUAUCAGCUUGUUGGUGGGGUGAGGGCCUGCCCAGGCGACGACGGGUAGGCGGCCUGAGAGGGUGACCGGCAACACGGGGAGUGAGAUAGGGUACAGACUCGUACGGGAGGCAGCAGUUGGGAAUAAUACAAAAUGAGGGAGAGCCUGAUGCAGCAAGACAGCGUGAGGGAUGACGGCCAUCGGGUUGUAAACCUCUAUCAGCACAGGCGAAGCGCAAGUGACGGUAUGUGCAGAAGAAGGACCGGCCAACUACGUGCCAGCAGCCGCCGUAA
rnacentral:rRNA from 1 species